UGGGGAAUAUUGCACAAUGGGCGCAAGCCUGAUGCAGCCAUGCCGCGUGUGUGAAGAAGGCCUUCGGGUUGUAAAGCACUUUCAGCGGGGAGGAAGGCAUUAAGGUUAAUAACCUUGGCGAUUGACGUUACCCGCAGAAGAAGCACCGGCUAACUCCGUGCCAGCAGCCGCGGUAAUACGGAGGGUGCAAGCGUUAAUCGGAAUUACUGGGCGGAAAGCGCACGCAGGCGGUCUGUCAAGUCGGAUGUGAAAUCCCCGGGCUCAACCUGGGAACUGCAUUCGAAACUGGCAGGCUAGAGUCUUGUAGAAGGGGGUAGAAUUCCAGGUGUAGCAGUGAAAUACGUAGAGAACUGGAGGAAUACCGGUGGCGAAGGCGGCCCCCUGGACAAAGACUGACGCUCAGGUGCGAAAGCGUGGGGAGCAAACAGG
rnacentral:rRNA from 1 species